CGAACUGCCGUUGACAAAACGGAGGAAGUGGGGAUGACGUCAAAUCAUCAUGCCCCUUAUGUUCUGGGCUACACACGUGCUACAAUGGCCGGUACAGACGGAGGCGAAGCCGCGAGGCGGGGCAAAUCCGAAAAAGCCGGUCUCAGUUCGGAUUGCAGGCUGCAAUUCGCCUGCAUGAAGUCGGAAUCGCUAGUAAUCGCAGGUCAGCAUACUGCGGUGAAUACGUUCCCGGGCCUU
rnacentral:rRNA from 1 species